rnacentral:rRNA from 1 species
CGUAGGGUGCAAGCGUUAAUCGGAAUUACUGGGCGUAAAGCGUGCGCAGGCGGUUAUGCAAGACAGAUGUGAAAUCCCCGGGCUUAACCUGGGAACUGCAUUUGUGACUGCAUAGCUGGAGUACGGCAGAGGGGGAUGGAAUUCCGCGUGUAGCAGUGAAAUGCGUAGAUAUGCGGAGGAACACCGAUGGCGAAGGCAGUCCCCUGGGCCUGUACUGACGCUCAUGCACGAAAGCGUGGGGGAGCAAACAGGAUUAGAUACCCUGGUAGUCCACGCCCUAAACGAUGUCAACUGGUUGUUGGGAGGGUUUCUUCUCAGUAACGUAGCUAACGCGUGAAGUUGACCGCCUGGGGAGUACGGCCGCAAGGUUG